rnacentral:rRNA from 1 species
AGGACAAACGCUGGCGGCGUGCCUAAGACAUGCAAGUCGGACGGGAGGAUUCGUCCUCCAGUGGCGGACGGGUGAGGAGCGCGUGGAGAACCUGCCCUUGUGUGGGGGAUAACAGCCAGAAAUGGCUGCUAAUACCGCAUACGAUUACCGGGCGAUAGUUCGGUAAGGAAAGCCGCAAGGCGCACAUGGAGGGGUCCGCGUCGGAUUAGCUUGUUGGUGGGGUAACGGCCUACCAAGGCGACGAUCCGUAGC